rnacentral:rRNA from 1 species
GAUGAACGCUGGCGGCGUGCCUAAUACAUGCAAGUCGAGCGAACAGACGAGGAGCUUGCUCCUCUGACGUUAGCGGCGGACGGGUGAGUAACACGUGGAUAACCUACCUAUAAGACUGGGAUAACUUCGGGAAACCGGAGCUAAUACCGGAUAAUAUAUUGAACCGCAUGGUUCAAUAGUGAAAGACGGUUUUGCUGUCACUUAUAGAUGGAUCCGCGCCGCAUUAGCUAGUUGGUAAGGUAACGGCUUACCAAGGCGACGAUGCGUAGCCGAUCUGAGAGGGUGAUCGGCCACACUGGAACUGAGACACGGUCCAGACUCCUACGGGAGGCAGCAGUAAGGAAUCUUCCGCAAUGGGCGAAAGCCUGACGGAGCAACGCCGCGUGAGUGAUGAAGGUCUUCGGAUCGUAAAACUCUGUUAUUAGGGAAGAACAAAUGUGUAAGUAACUAUGCACGUCUUGACGGUACCUAAUCAGAAAGCCACGGCUAACUACGUG